GGCCAGAGGUUACAUAUAUGUGUGUGCAAUGUAUUCCAAAGGCAUAGUUGGAGUAGCUGAGAAUGGGAGGUGGGAGCCCAGGAAAGGAGGAGGCGGGCGCCACAAGUCUGGACGAGCUGCCUUGUAAAAGGAUCAAAGCUCUUUGAGAUCCCUCUGCCAAAGCUCUUGCAGCGUGUGACAGGAACCCAGGUGAAAGAUGGGUGUGAGUGGAACUGAAAGAGACCCCUUGAUGAUUUCCUGAGGAAAUUCACCUGUUUGGCAAUGACUUUGCUCCGCAAGUUUUCCUCCUGCAUCCACAUGUCCUCAUCAACUCCAAACUCAAAGGAAAGCAUGAUGGUUGUGAAACUGAAAAGCAACUUUCAGCGUAUGCAGAUUUGGAACUCAUAAUGCCGCCAGCCUGAAACUACUGUUAAUAUUUUGGUUCAACUUCAGUUAUCUGGAAAAGGCCAAGAAGCCAGAGGAGUGAGGCAUUGUUUCAAAUCAUAAACUGACAAGAUUUGAUUAAACGUCAUCAUUUGCCCAGCAUUGUACAUGUGUACAAUGAAGAACCAAAGACUGGACUCUCAAGGAAGCAAAGAGACAAAAGUGACACAGCUACAAUGCUCAGCAUGCAAGUUAGCACCCAACUGAGGGGCCCAGAUCAUGAGAAUUAUAGGCCCUUAGCACACUGAGGAGAGGUCAGGGGUCAGGCUAGUCUGGUAGAGGGGGGGAAAGGAGGCUUCCUGCAGGAGCUGGAACUUGGGCCAUCUCUUGCAGACUGGGGAGGAUUGAGAUUAGUAAAGAGAAAGAGAAGGUUCUCUAGCCAAUGGAGACAACUCAAGCAGAGGCCCUGGAAUGGGACUGGCAAGAAGAAGUGAGACCAGCCGAGUUCAGUCGAGGAACGGGUAGGAUAAUGUAUCUCAUGGUAAGUCAGAUUAUGGGGACUGUUGACAGUCGGGCAGAAGUACUUGGCUCUAGAUAUGGUAGGCAAGACAAAGAAACAAAUAAGCUUAUGGGUGAGUUGGGCAAUUAUGUAGUCUAGUGGCUACUAAACAGUCAAGUCACAAAUAACCUGAUGGUAUUGGUGUGUUCCAUGUGAGAGUGCAAGUGCCCACUGUCUGGAAUCCCCUCACUUCUCUCUGUUCACCCCUCACCCAACCACAUCCUGGGAAGUGGGCAGUAGGGUAUACUGAGUGCAUUGCACAGAUUAACUAACUCGGCCUUCCUCCCAAGGAUCUUCCUCGAAUGCCUCACCUCAGAAAGAUCUAACACAACAAAUAAAACAAAAGCAGUGAAGAUAGCGACCUGUGAGGACCAAAGCCAUCUAUGCAGAACUCCAGGGAGCUUCUGCACCGGCAACCGGCACAAAGAGUCAAAAUCCUCUUCUGCCUUCUUCACUUUUCUCAGUCCUCAGGACACCAAGCUUCUAACUGACCGUGCUUCCAUAGCAUGCCCACACUUCGCCUGCACUUCCUUUAGGCUGACGUCGACACUCCCCCUGCCGUGCAAUGCUCUAUACUCCCAGGUCAAGAGUUUCCCUUCCCACUGGGCUGGAUGAUUCUGGGACCUAAGGAUCUGCUCAGAAGAGCAGAUGCUCAGUGAGUGCAUAUUAAACAGCUCUAGUGCCCCUUCCCUGGUUUUAUAAUCUGGUCCACAAAAUUCCUGGUAGCCAUCUUCAACAACAUUGCAAAACAACAUGGACCUUUAAAAGAAAGUUUGAGCAUCAGUUAACACAACUUGAAUACAAGAAAUCCCAGCAGCUCACAAUCUUUCACCCUUUUCCAAAACAUCCUGUGGGUCAGCAACAUCCCUCUAACAUUCAGAGUGAAAGGAAGAUCUCCUCUCAGAUCUUACUGCAGGCACCCCAUUGGGGUCUUUGGGAGAUAGUCACCCAAAUGGCCUACAUUUGAAGUUGGCAAGACCACCCCAGAAACAGCAUCUGUCCAUGUUCCUUUCACCAAGAUCCGUGGUCUGCUGAUUGUUGAGACUUGUGUUCAAGUGUUGACUUCCCUUUUUUUUUCUUAAAGAUUUCCCUUUUCCUUUUCCUCCCCAAAGCCCCCCGUACAUAGUUAUAUAUUUUU